GAAAAGUUUUAUUCUUGCUUAGAAUUUCAUUUUAGGUAUAUUUUACAUGUAUAUAUUUGUGAGUUAUCUAUAUUUUCUUAAUGAAGUAUUUUUUUUAUAAUCGCAGUAUUUAAUUUUAAUAAUCAAAGUCAUUUGGAGUUAGUAAUACCUUAUAAUACCGGCAAAAAUCGUGCCAGCUGCCGCGGUUAUACGGAGGGUGUAAAUGAAAGAUAUUAGUUUAUAGUUAUACGAUGUGUAAGAGAGUAGAAUUGGCAUUUUUAGGUGAAAUUUUUGAUGCAAAAUUUAUCUUAAAAUGAUUAGUAGAGGCUGUGAAAUUUAAUUGUUAAACUAGGAUUAGAUACCCUAUUAUUUUAAAUGUGAAUAUAAAUAUGCUUGAGUAGUAUGAGUUAUGUUCUUUAAACUUAAAGAAUUUGGCGGUGUUUUAGUCUAUUCAGAGGAACCUGUCCCGUAAUCGAUAUCCCACGUAAAAUCUUACUUAAUUUUGUUAUCAGUUUGUAUACCGCCGUCGUCAGAAUGUCUUUAGAAAGGUGAAAUUUUCUUAAAUUUUUAUUAAAAAUGAUGUCAGGUCAAGGUGCAGCUAAUGGUUAAGUGGAGAUGGGUUACAAUAAAAUUAUUUAUAUGAAUUUCAGCUUGAAAAAGAGGUUUGAAAGUGGAUUUGAUUGUAAUUUGAUUAAUAAAGUUGAAUUGAUCUUAGCUCUAAAACAUGCACACAUCGCCCGUCGCUCUCGUUUUUUUAAGGUGAGAUAAGUCGUAACAUAGUAGGUGUACCGGAAGGUGCCCCUGGAAAGGU
rnacentral:ncRNA from 1 species